rnacentral:tRNA from 1 species
UGUUGAGGUAGUUCAAGAAGAACAAUAGCCUGUCUAGCUGAAGGUGCCUUUAAAGUUGGCUCUCGAUAU